CGGGACGCGGCUGUGGCGCUCUUCGGCCUCUGCCCUUCUCCCUCUCACCGAACGCUGAGUUUCACCCCCGAAACCGGGACACAGGAGCCUCGCUGCCUUUAUCCACAGAAUCACCAACGUUGGAAGAGACCUGAAGGGAAGAGGAGACUGGCCCCCACCCACCUCUGUCAUGGAGUAGAAUAAUUCUCCAGAAACACCUAUUUGCAAUCCUGUUUUCUCAGGAGCUUGGCGGAUUUUGUCAGAGGGUCAGUUAUUCCCACACUUCACACCAAAAUUUGUGGGGUAUGCUGGCACUGAACUGCAGCCCACACCCCUCCUCCAAAGUCUUGAUGAGAUGUACGAGCUCCCAGGUUAUCCCAUUCCUGGGCAUCAUCAGGCUUUGCAGAAUGAGCACCUUGCUGGGGAAAGCACAGUCCCUUCUGCCUGCAUGUAUGGUGCUUUCAUGGUAAGUGGAGAUUGGAUGAGUGGUGUGGAAAAUGCAGGUACAAAUACCGAUUCAUGGAUAACCUGCAAUCCCUCCUUUGAUGCAUCCCCAACUUUCCUUUUCAGGGUCAGCUUCCAGUAGUGGCCAUGCACCCAGUCCAUGUAAGAAAAAUAAAUGCAGAUCGGUUAGAAUCCCCUGGCUGUUUUCAAGUUAUAAAAUAGUUAUCCCUUCUCCUUUUGUGUCAUUAUUUUUUAAGCAAAACACUAUUAGAUUUAGCAAUUCCCUGGUAUUUGUAGAAGUUUGAUCACAGUUAUACAACAUUAGGUUACAUUACUCUGAGUGCUUUAAUGUUCCUAAUAAUUAGUUAUUAAUAAUUAGGUUCAUGAGCAACAGAGCUCACAAUUUAUGGUGGUUGUUAUCUCUCUGAUUUGUGAUCAUUUUCCAUGCAGAUGUGCCUGUGUACAGCAAUUUAGGUGCCACAUAAAUCAAAAUAUUUUGUCAGUGUAUUUGGCUGCACUGAGAAAAAUCUGAAGUUUCUUGUAUCUUUUCAUUUUUUUGUCUUCCACUGCAUCACUAAGAAAGUUUAUUGUCUUGUCAUGUGGUAAUAAGAAUUUCAGCAGUCUAUCUAAAAGGAAUAGAUCCAGCAAUUACAAAACUCACUAAGAAGUAAAUGAGGCAGCACUUCCAUUGCAGAAUGCUUAUGAUCAGUUCUGAUAACGCAAGUAGCAAAAAAAAUGCUUGGUGGGGCUGAAAAGUGUGGUUUUAAAAGUAUGUUUGCAAAGCUAUCAUAAAAAUAGGCAAGGAUAUGUAUUUUAUUAGCUGACUUCGAAAAUAUUUGUAUAACUCUGUUUGCAUCACUGUAUAUGUCUACAUAUUUCUGUUUUUUUCAGAAUGAUCUCAAGGUCAGUCAGAGCUCCUGGGAACUUAAGCUAUAUUUUUCUAGUAAGUUAUUUCAGUCUUCCAAGUCCAAUUUAAGUAUAAACACAGUUUCCAUGCACAGCAGGUUUACAGUAUCUCUGUUUGCUUAUGUUAAAAGUUACCGGCUACCCAGGUCGGUUCAGCCAGUCAGAUUGCCCUCUUCAAUAAACAUUCUGACACCACUUUCAGGUUUUGAGUGUGUGUGUGUUUUGGGGAACGUGUCACACUGUGUGAUGGAUUGCUUAUUCCAUUCCUAGGCUUAGGUGGGAAACUUUUGGGGUUGUGAUGUGUCACAGACCUCAUCUCGUUAAUGUACCUGGAACAGUUGAGCACAAUGUCACAGGAAAAUGCAUUUUGGGAUGCUCCGGUGUUGCAAUUGCAAUGGAAAGCUGUCGAUUCCUUUGUCGGAAAUCUUCUUUGUGAGUAUGGCAGCUGAAUUGAGGAUUUAACAGGCUGAGAUUGAGGAGCUGCCUUAGUGUUCCUGUUUCACAGGUGAAAUCUGAGCGAGAAAAUAAAUAGGAAAAAUACAUUCUGUAUAGUGGAACUAUCAUUCAGCACCUGGACCUGAUUUUCAUUACAGUUCUUUAUUAUGGCUUAAAUACCCGCUGCAGAAAGUGACAUUGCAUUUGCUAGUCCAGGAACAAUCCCAAGAAGGAAAUUUCUCUGAGCUACCAUUUAUUCAGAGGGACAAUAACAAAGGGGAGCAACUUACUUUUGUACGGGUGAGAUACACUCCUGCUUUCCUGUUCCCUUUCAGUGCUUUUGUGGCUGACUGGCACAGUCACACCAGCCAGGCUCUAAGUGCACUGAAUACACAGCAAGGAUUAGGAGAUGAUACCAUGCAGAGAUGCUGCUCAGCCCAUCAGCUCAGAGGUCAGAAGAUCUCUGUUCCCAUCUCGGUUCCAAAGGACAUGGCAUGUUUGCUCAGUAAACUUCCCCAACUACUCCAUUGUGUGUUCCUUGAUAUCCCUCUGUGUUUGCUCCUUUUUAAAGCAGAAAUGCUAGUGGUGGUAUGUGUCCAGAAACUUGGGAAAACAGACAUCCAGAAUUCCAAGGUGUUAAAGGACUGUCCUCAUGCCUAUUACCUUCAAUGAGAUAUUUCCAAUACUUAAAUUUAAGCCCAUGCUUAACUGCUCGCAGAAUCUUUUGGGUUUGAUUAGCAUUAUUCCAGGAUCAUUUACAUUUCUAUGAUCCUCUCCCUUGUUCAUCAGUUCCCAAACUUCUUACAUCCUGGAUUACUCUUGGCUGUCACAGUUUCUUUACAGGGCGCUAUCCAAGUUUAUCAUUGCACUUCUAAUCAAAAUAGCUACCUCUGAUAUCCUUCCACAAACCAAGUGCCUUAUGCCAUCAAAUCUUCCUUGCCAAGUAUGACUGUUAACUUGACUUCCAGAAAACCAAGAAUGUGUCAGAAUGACAGGUUGCCUUUCACUACAUUGAAUACAUUCCUUUUUCUCCCUUAGCAGUGGCUUCUGGAUUGUUUCCUUGUUAUUUAAAGCGAAAACAAAACAAAACCAGAUACAAGGUUGUGAAUGCUGUCAUAGGUGUUUGCUCAUGGGUUCUUCAGUCUCCUGGAGCUGCUGAUCUCCUGCUGUAAAACAGUAAAAUCUAGAUGUUUGUCCCUAGGCUGUAAUAGCUCUGAGAAUGGUUUGUGUAACAGUGUGAUCAGCAGCCUAAUGAAGAAAAGCAGAAAGUGUGAAUAAAAAUGUGUUUCUUUCCUGGAAGGGAGAGUACAUUGGCAGGCAGAGAAGGAAAAAAAAGAGAAGCGUCCUGUCUGGAGUGAAGAGUCUUAAGGGAAGAUUCACUGGGAUUUCUUACAAAAAAUGAAAUGUUAACAUUAGUGUUAAAAAGGAGAUCUUUCUGCAGAGUUAAGUUCUUUGUUUAACAGACUUCUUCCUUCAGAGCACUGUUUGCUCUUUGUUACUUCGUGAGUAACUUUUAUUACCAGAAAAGUACCCAAACAUUUUUUUUUGGUUGCUCUUUUAAAAAAAUCCCCUUGAGCUUGGAGUUUCUCCGGACAGAGUCCUUCCCUUCCCCUACAGCCCCGCAGUCCUUGGGCACGCACUCUGCAGAGGGUCAGGUUGCAUCCUCAUUAGCAGUUUGUUUUAUUGCUGUUUGCUGUGGGACACAACCGGGAAUGUUUCUGGCCAAGCCCGGUGCUGCUGCCCUUCUUCUCUCCGUGGCUCCCGGAGCCAAGCACAGCCUCUCACCUCGGCCCAGGCUUACCGUGAGUGGGCAUCCAGGAAUGUCCCUUGCAGUACUUCCCUCUUCCCAAUGGAGCUUUGCAAGCUGCCUGAGCUGUUGGGUUCACUCAUGCAGAGUUAGGCAGCACAUUUUCCAUAGUGAUUUCUGUGUGUACAUGUCUGCGUGUACUUUUAAUCUCUGUAAAUCCCUACCAGGCUCACUUUGUUCUUCGACAUGCCAUGGCUUAUGAACAAAAAUCAUCAGGUCCUGAGCCUUUCAUCUCCAGAGGACUCCUUAAUACAUUGCAGAGUAUCAUUACUUUUGAUACUUGGUGAGUACAGUAGCUACUAAGAUAAUACAAGUAUGAAAGCCUCAACAACUAGAGGCAUAUUGAUUUGCAGUUCUCAAAUUUCAUUUAUAAAAAAUAUUUCUAGCCCUCAUGGUUGCAGGGGAAAAAGACGGGAAAUGCAAAUGAUGCAAAUGUAAAUGAUGGAAAUGUAAAUGAUGCCAAACAUAAUGGUUUGUGAGCUGUUAAGCUGAGGUGAUGCCACAUGUUUGAUAGAAAGGCUUUGCUGUUGGGGUGACAGAUAACCUGAAUCCCCAGCUCUGGGCAGAAGAAUGUCAGCAGAGGAUGCUGAAGCCAAGAGGCACUGGAUCACAUCAGCCCCAUCCAGCUGGGAUACCAUCAAAGUUGUUGUCUUCUGCCUAGAAACUGCUCCCAGAACUUCCUCCUCCUCUGCUUCAUCUCCCUGGGCCGAGUGCAGUUUUUGUUAAGGUCAUGUAGGGGUAUUCGGAGAGUUGAACACCUUUGCUGUUCAGGCACAGCAAGAAAGAUGGAUGAAAGUGUCCCAAAUGAAAUCUAUUUUGUAAACUCAUGUUGGGAAUCCUUAUGGUUGGCAGCAUGAAACCGUAUCCUCUCUUCAUGUGGGCCAUGCUUGCAUCGCCACAGAGAUGUUAGUUUUGAGUGCCUUUCUGGGGAUCAGAUGCAUGUUCUUUCUGUAAUGAAGUGGCUGUUGUGAAGUUUGCCUUCUAAAGCUUACCCCUUGGGCUCCUGGGGAAAAACAAGCCUGAAGCUGCCAAUAUCUAACUUUUAAUUAUUAUUCAGUUCUGGGGCAUAACCACCCUGGUUACAUUCAUGAAAGUCAGGAAUCGUGCUUAUGCAAUUCUUUUGGCAUUGUAAAUAGAGCCCCAGAGAAAUUUGUUUUGAUUUUAGUAGUAACUUUUCUGAGAGAUGACUUUUACUUUUAAUAAAUUAUUUACUUUCAAUUACAAAAUAUAAAAUUAGAGGUGUAAAAUAUAAAAUUAAAUAACUCACCUGUGUCUAGUUAGAAUAGUAUCAUUUCCCAGAAGAUCAGAAAUUUACCCAUCUGCCUUGUAAAAUGAAGGUCUGAUAAAUAGCUCUUUUUUUUUCUGCCUAUCAUCAGUAAAAGCCUUGAACUAAAUAUGGUAAGAAAAAAAAAUGAAACAUAUUCAGUAUAAAUAUAGAUACGAAUAUCAUGACAUGUAAAAUUGGUCUCUAAAAAUAGUGAAGGAAAAAGGCUCAGCAACAUAAAUGUGUAACUAAUAUGUCAAAUAGUUCUUAAGUUAUUCACAAUAUAAUAUGACAAGUUGCAAUAUGGUAUAAAGUAGAGGAGGGGAGGUGAGAACAUGGGAAGUAAAUUCUCAUUUUUAGCUUUUCAGCUGGGGGAAGAACACAGUCUGUGAAAAAAUAAGAAACAAUAUGCAUGCAAAAUUUAGAUACUUUUAUAUUAAUUACUAUCCAACAAAUGUUGCCUACAGCUAACAGAGUGAAAAUGAUUAGAUGGAAGGCUUUGAUUUUUCAAUAAACUUCUCUCUAAGGAGGGAAAAAAGAAAAUGAUAACACCGUGUUGUUUGUAUUACAGACCAUAUACAACUAAUAUCUGGAUCUCAUUAUGCUGGGAACUGUUCAAAUGCAGGUAGAAAAAUGGUGUCUUUCACAAAAAAGCAGCAAAAUAAUUUGCACAAAAGAACAAAGAUGAAUGUACAGUAAUAAGGAACAGCUGAAGGAGAGCAAAAGAUCACAAAGAAUCUUCUUUUGUUUGCCACAUAUGUAUGCAAUAGAGCUGGAAGGAGAAAAGUAUUUUGAUUUCUCAGGGAACCUUGAUGUUCCAAGAGUUUGAAAUUGCCUGUAAAAAAGGACUGGAGCUGGAGUUGUUGGAUACUGGAGCUCUGGCCGUGGCUGUAGCCAUGACCCUGGUAUCUCUGAGCUCCCCAGUCACCAUGACUGUGCUGUGCCUGGUACUCUGCUCUGGACUGGGGACAUUAUAAGCCCAAGGGUCCUUAAUCUUCAGGCAAUUUAUCUAGCAAGAUUUGUUGAAACUGUGGGAGCUGGAAGCCCUGGUCCUCAGGAGACUACCAGCUGGGCUGCUCAGAAGCUGGGGCUGGCAUAGCUCCAGUGGAAGCUUGCCUGUUUUUCAAAGGAAUUUAAUUGAAUACUUGUCUGGAUGAAAUGUUUCUGUUUGGUAAAUUGAGACAUUCCAAAAUAAAAAUAUAGUCAGAGAGGGUUUUUUCGCCAGAUGUAGGGAGCAGGUACAUGGUUUCUAUUUCAACAUAUGUAAAUAUAAAUAUAUAUAUAUGUGUUUUAUGUGAUAGAAAAGUAGAGAGACACAGCUGGCCAUUUUCCUGCCUCCUCUUCAUUAGGCAUAUUAUAUUAUUUUCCUGUUUAUUUCUAUUUUGCCAGUGCUCAGGAGCCCAGAGGUUUAUUGUGCUCAUCGGAGUCAAAUCGCAGAACAAAACAGCCUAAAUCUCUAGUGAGAUUCUUGUGGUUGGAAGCAAGCUGGAGAAGAGCACAGAGGAAGGACAGGGAUCGGCGGGCUCAUUCUGAAGCUGUGCCAGUGCCAGCAGUGCAUGGGGACUACAGAUGAGAGCUUUGUUACAGAAGCAUGAGAUCAAUUCACCAUUCCAGGCCGUGUAGUAAAUGCAUUCCUGACUGGAUGUUACAUCGUUUUUAUGUUCCUGGGACAGCACUGUACUGUGUCUCCUCACUGAAAGAGCCAUGUUCAUUAGAUACAGGAAGUCCUGCUAAUCAUCCAUAACGCAACAUUAACAGCUGCUGGUAGAUCUUUGUAUGCCCACUGAUCAGGGGAGACCUCGCAGGAGAUUUGGUGCUUCUUUGCUGGGAUUGUUCUCCUCAGCAUGCUUCAGAAUCUGAAGUUCUGUAAAAGAAAAAAAAAUAAAAAUAAAAAAGGGCAGUUAAUCCUUAAGGUUGUGAGGAAAACUUUUAAAACAUGCACCAGAUGGAAAUCAAUGUGGUGGUGUCUGCAGGCAGACAUAGGCUGAGAAGCAAUCUGAAGGCUGACACUAUUUGGAUUAAAGGCAAAAGAGCUGCAAAGCAGUCACACAAUUUAGAUAUCAUCAAUACAGUACAGGGGCUCUGCAGUUCUGCAGUGAGCCCUGUCUUGUUUCACAUGGUUGAUAGCUUUGUUUUUGCCAGUGGCUCAAGAUAAACCCAAUUUUCUCUCCUGUUGAUUUGUGGUCCCUUUCUUUUGUAUAGACAACUUCCAUUACUUCCGUUAGCACUGUACACAGAUAGCUGACUCAGGAAUGGAGCUGACCGGAAAAAAAAAUAAAUUCCAAUCUAUGAACAAUAAAUUUAUAUUUCUCCACUUGUUUUCUGCCCAUUUUCUCACAACACAAAAAAAAAAAUUAAAAAAAAAAAGAGAAAAUAGCAUAACUGAUGAAUGGUGAGAUGUUAGGUUUGAACUGUUUUGAUCUAAAUGCUGGAGUUGAUUAGCCUAGUGGCUGCUUUGUGUGUAAUGAAGUCUUUAGGAAUCUGUCCUGGGUGCCAGCAGUUAUUCCUUAGCCCUAGCUUGGGAUCUCUGACACCUCUCUGUGGGUGAGAUAUAGCAGGAUUUCUACAGAUUAUUCUCCAGAACAAUCCAUUGUUCAUGAAGGAGUCCUGCAUAUCUGGCUCCCAUUCAGUUAAUGGGACAAACUCUCUGUUGACAGUGUUGCUGGUUUUGGUAGAGAAAAUACUAAUCCAACAUCCUCCUGGUAAGACUAAAAUAAAUUAUAAAUCCCAAGGUGGUUUACAGUGUCUGGGAGGAAAAGUGCAUAGCAAAUCACGUCUUGUGCCCUGGAAUCCAAGUGGUUCCCCGUUAUCAGCCGUGAACAGGGGAUGUGGUUUCAGGGAGCUGGAUAUUCCAUGUGACACAGAGGUGAUACGGGCCAAAAGCACAUGAAAGCACCUUCAUUCCUGGUCCUUCCAACACAGGAAAAUGCCUAUAAACCAUAACAACCUACUCAGGAGUGAGAGCUCUGCCAAAUGAAUAGCACAGAGCUGGUAGCAGCUGCUGGCUAAAACAGGAAGGCAGCUGGUGUCUAUGGAUAGUGCCCAUGGGGGAAACUGCCCUAAGAGAUGGCAAAGGUAAAGCAGAGCAAUAAUCAAAGAAAUGCCCAUCAUCCUCUGGGUGGAGGUGUUUGUAUGCAGCACCUUGCUACACACCUAAGUGCUGGGCAACUUGAGGUUGUUGAUACUCUGCAAGACCAUACAUGGUACCAUUUGCUUUAAUAGUAGCAAUUAGUGGACCAGUAGAAUAAACAAUGAUUUUAUGAAAAUGAGGACUGAUCCAUUCAUGGAUAGAUCUGGGACAAAGAUUGAAUCCCAUGCUUGUCCUCAGUCAGUGUGCCCCUUGAGGUGUUAAUUGUUCAGCCAGAUAUCACUGCAAUAUCCAUACAACAGAUCAUUUAUUUUUGUACAUCUACUGCAUUACACAAUACCCUGGGGCUCCAAAGCAGCUCUUUGCUGUCAGUAAUGCCUGCUGUAUGCUCUAGUUCAGACAGGCAGAAGAGCAGGUCCCAGAAUCUGUUCACAAAAUUAAAAAAACAAAGAAACCAGUAUAAUGGUGUACCUCAGUUUUGCCCAAUUCACCCUUGCAGGGAAAUGCUCUAUGCCAUUGUAAUAGCAAGGAUUUACAGUAAGAAGCUGCAUUAUGGCAAGUUUAAAUGAAAAUUAAGAAGUGUGUUUCCAACAGUGGGCAUCACUCACUAGGUGAGCACAAAUGCCAAGAGAAACCACCCCAUGACUGAUAAUUAGUAUGGUGUUUUUUGGUAAUUUAUAGACAAGUUGACAGAUAACACCAAGUUUCAUCUGCUACAGACUGUGAGCAAAGCACAUAGGGAUUUGUUUGGUGAGAAGUGCAUGGCAGAAAAUGCAUUGGUUCCAGUCCUCCACCACCUCCUGUCUCUUCUUACCUGGUGUCCCUCCUGUCUUCCCAGCAGCAAGCCUCAAGGGGACAAACUGCAGGGCUGGCACCUUUUGUGCCUGCAGCUCUGUGACAACAGGGCUGCCCCCUUGGUAUUCAAGGUGAUGUAAAUGAAAGUGGACUUAGGUUUCUUGUUUCUGCAUCUUCACCCUUCUUUUUGUCCUUCCCUCCCUUGAAUUUGGGAGCUCAGUGCUGCUGGGAGAAAAGGGUGAGAGAUCUGGCUUUGAAGGAGAUGAAUCCUAGAACAGAACAGGAGUUUACAGGCUCCAGUUACUUCUACCUGGUCACAGAGAAUAAGUUUCUGCUGGUACUGGAUGGUAUGUCCAGACAGGACAAGAUGCUUGAAGCCCUCAAUUGUUAUCUGCUGUCAGCCAACAGCAUAAAAAAUGUAGCACUCAAGUUCUAAAUCCUGAGAAUUGGCCAUGAGGAUGCACAAUAAAUAAGCAUUUAAAUUUCCUUGCACUAGGAAUCUUUAAUGAUUUUGUGUUUUUCUUCACAAAUGUGGAGGCUUGAAAUGAAUUAUUUAGGUGAAAGAUGGCUCUUUCUUAUGAUUAUGAUUUCUUGUCUUUGUCUAUUUAGACACCCGGUACUGUAGGUUAAAGAAACACAUCAGGUUUGCUUUGAUAUCCUUAAACCUGGAAACAAUGGAUUCAUACCAGAGACUGAGACUGUUGUGAAACUGAAGAUGAAGUCUUGGCUUUAGCUGCAGAAAUAAUUUUAACAGGCAUCCACAUGUGUCUAAUAAAAUCAGAUUUCCACCUUUCCAACUGGAGCUUUAGUCACAGCAGCAUAUUUUGCAGUUCCCACUCAAGCCCAGCAGUGUGUGAUAGUAAGGGCACUGUUGCUGGAGCAGGGAAAGUGGAAUCAAACAGCUCACACUUCUGAGCCAGCAAACUGAGCAGGAAAGUGUUAAAUCGUCUCCAGCAAUGCUGUAUGGGAGCCUGCCAGUCAUCUUUGCCUUUAUUUGCAGCUCAAGCAAAGAAGUAGAUCCUCCAAAUUAGGUCAUCUGUUUGCUUCAUUCUGAAAGAUUUUUAUUAAAAUUAAAAGUGUUGUCUGUUUCUUCUCCCAGAGGGAAAACAAACAUUGGCAUCUAAAGUGGUGGAAGACAAACACUUGGUGCUGGGCAACUUGAUUAAAGUAUAUUCCUUGUAAUGAGCGGUGCCUCCCUUAUCCUGCCAUUGUGUUCAGACAAGAAAAAAAAAAAAGGAGGGCCUGCCCUUUCCCAUUGUACAGUCACAUUUUCCAAGUGCAGUGAAAAAGAGUUUUAUAAAAAGCUCUAAAAAAUAACAAAAAAAAAAGAAAGAAAGAUGAACUCAUUUUUUUAGUAAACCACUGAAGCAACUCUUCAACGAAGGCAACCUUGUGCACUUUGUAUGUAGGAAAACUGUUGAAAUUGGUGCUCUAUCUAACCUACCAGAAAAGGAGAGUAACAGUGAUAAAAUGGUCUGGGAUAAAUGUUAUCUGAGCUUUGCUUAAAAGUUUGCUACUAGAAUCAAAGCUGAUUUUUA